rnacentral:snRNA from 1 species
UUGGAUUUCCUUACCAGUGUUCA